CCUACGGGUGGCAGCAGUGGGGGAUAUUGCACAAUGGGGGAAACCCUGAUGCAGCGACGCCGCGUGGGUGAAGAAGCGCCUCGGCGCGUAAAGCCCUGUCAGCAGGGAAGAAAAUGACGGUACCUGAAGAAGAAGCCCCGGCUAACUACGUGCCAGCAGCCGCGGUAAUACGUAGGGGGCAAGCGUUAUCCGGAUUGACUGGGUGGAAAGGGGGCGCAGACGGCGAGGCAAGCCAGGAGAGAAAGCACGGGGCCCAACCCCGGGACUGCUCUUGGAACUGCGUGGCUAGAGUGCAGGAGGGGCAGGCGGAAUGCGUGGUGUAGCGGUGAAAUGCGUAGAUAUCAGGCGGAACACCGGUGGCGAAGGCGGCCUGCUGGACUGCAACUGACGUUGAGGCCCGAAAGCGUGGGGAGCAAACAGGAUUAGAUACCCGAGUAGUC
rnacentral:rRNA from 1 species